UGAAAAUGCAUUUUGUCUUUCUGCAGACUUCUUGUGGACUUCUUGUUUCCUGUCUUGACAGUGUGUUGACUUCGACUUCUUGUUGAUCAAGUCAACAGGAAUUGCUGUUGACAUCAUGUUGACAGUCUUUUGAAAUACCUUAUGUGUACCUUGUGUGGACAAUGUACAUAGGUGUCGUUGUUGACGCUUUGUGGACUUUCUGUGCACCUGUGUAAUGAGUAUUUAUUUCGACCGUUUUAUUUUAUAGAUGUAUUUUGUAUUAUUAAUUACUGCAUUAUCGGCCAGUAAUGUCCCAGAGGUCGACCUCUGGGGGUACCGAGCAUUUCCUAACGGGGUGGGGGGGUGGCGGUAUAUAUGUAUAGAGGCAUAUUUGUGAAUCUAUUCAUUGGGAGACAGGCUGUAUGGGUAAUAUUAGCAAUUUCAGGGUGAGUUCAAAAAAAAAAAAAACUCCCGGGAGGUAGACAGAUCAGUGUUACCGUCUUUCCACUAAACAAAGCGGUAUUUGAAUCUGAACUUAUGAUCAAAUGUAGCUUAAAUUACACUUUGCCACAUUUUAGCUGCACACUAAAGCUCUAAAUACAUUUUCGUUGGCUUUGGGAAAGCGCUUCCUCGUAUUAUUUAUAUUUCAGUUUAUUAUGCAAUAUAUUUCCAACUUAUACGACCACAUGAGGAUCAUGCGCAUGCGACAAGUUUGCUCCACAUUUUGACUCUGCGCCGCCGUGCUUCACCCUCGCCCCUCGCCUCGUCACGAAGGAGUCAUCGCCAUUAGCAUCAUCGGAAUGUCAUUGGAACCGUUGCAAGACGUUUGAACGGUCUCCGCGCUCGCUCGUCCAUUUGUGAACAAAGGAGGCCGUGAUUUUGCGUCGUAUGGGGUAAGCUGUGUGAUCGAAGUGUGUGAUUAAGCUUCACUUGUAUUCACACCAUGACUGUUGGCUUUUGUUGUUUGUUUGGAGCAGCGGCUGCAGUGUUGCGUCCCGUCAGGUAAGUGUACAAGUAUCAGUUCGUGGCCGGUGUUGCUUCUGCUAAUUUCAUUCUCGUUGUUGCAGGCCAUGAAAGAAGGAAGGAGGAUAUGAUUUUGCGUCGUAAUGGGUUCUUGUUGUUUGUUCGGAGCAGCGGCUGCAGUGUUGCGUCCCGUCAGGCUCUACUUUGUUGAACACUAAGCUGGGUGAACCAACUUUGUUGUUGCUAUGACCGUAUUACUCAGUUUUACUCACUUGUGUUUGAACGUUACUAAUUUGCGAUUGCACGCCCUAUUUCAGACACAUAUCUCUCCAGCGCUUCAGAGACGUCGCUGGCGCCGAAAUUCUAGCUGUUUCACCGUGGGUCGCCAGAAGAACAGCAGAUCAUUGACUGUCAAUUGUGCGACGCGGCACUAUGUGGCACGAAGGAUGUGUACGUGUGAAAUAUACGUAACUACUGUGUGCGCGGGAUGUUUUGUAUGAUUGUGUCGACACUGGAUACCACUUUCAAGGUAUGCAUUUUCGGAAUAAAGUAGAUACAUAUAUAAUUUUGCAGUACUUCAUUUCGUGUAUUUUAUGCGUGUUGCGAGUAAGUGAACAUAUGCACUCUUAAAAAUGAACUUCACCGCAUAGCAUGCUCCUAGCCGACCAUCAACUCGAAUGAUAUCGCUAUGUGACCUGAUUUGUUCAAAACGGUAGGCGCACGGCUUUUUUGUGAUACUUCCGCUGUUCAUAAUUGUCACAAAAAUGGCGUACACCUCCCGUUUUCAGGCAGAUAACGAUAUUCGAGAUGAUGAUUGGCCAGGAGUGUGCUAUGCGGUGAAGUUCAUUUCUAAGAGAGUGGAGUCACAGGAAGUCUACCAAAAGUCUUCACAUCAUACGCGGGAUGGUGUUACCAGAAUUAUGUUGACAGUACACAGAAAGAGAACAAAAAAUUCCACAGCUAUUCUGUAGCCAAAUGUCUACAGAAAGUUGAGGGCCAUAAGUCAACAAGAAGUAAACAUAUGAUGUAAACAUGAAAGCAACACAAACUCUGAAGAAUGUUUGUUUUCCAUGUUGACCUUGG